rnacentral:rRNA from 1 species
UCCCCUACGGGGGGCAGCAGUGAGGGAUAUUGGUUAAUGGGGGAAACCCUGAACCAGCAACGCCGCGUGAGGGUAGACGGUUUUCGGAUUGUAAACCUCUGUCCUCUGUGAAGAUAAUGACGGUAGCAGAGGAGGAAGCUCCGGCUAACUACGUGCCAGCAGCCGCGGUAAUACGUAGGGAGCAAGCGUUGUCCGGAUUUACUGGGUGUAAAGGGUGCGUAGGCGGCUUUGCAAGUCAGAAGUGAAAUCCAUGGGCUUAACCCAUGAACUGCUUUUGAAACGGCAGAGCUUGAGUGGAGUAGAGG